GGAGUUUGGGCCGUGUCUCAGUCCCAAUGUGGCCGGUCGCCCUCUCAGGCCGGCUACUGAUCGUCGCUUUGGUAGGCCGUUACCCUGCCAACUGGCUAAUCAGACGCGGGGCCAUCCCAUUCCACCUCAGUUUUUCACACUGGAGGAUGUCCUCCCGUGCGCUUAUGCGGUAUUAACAGUCGUUUCCAACUGGUAUCCCCCGGAAUGGGGCAGGUUCCCCACGCGUUACUCACCCGUCCGCCACUAAGUGAUUCAAAUGAGUCAAUCUGGUGCAAGCACCUUCAAUCCUCGGGAGAACCACUCCGUUCGACUUGCAUGUGUUAAGCACGCCGCCAGCGUUUAUC
rnacentral:rRNA from 1 species